rnacentral:snoRNA from 1 species
UGCUAUGAUGUCGUAAUUUGCGUCUUACACUGUGCUCAGCGACAGUUGCCUGCUGUCAUUAGGCUGGUACAGAUGGUUGCUGAACACCUAACUCUGAGCA